rnacentral:lncRNA from 1 species
GGCAGAGGGAGCACCUGUCAGAUCCUGGGUGUUUGGGAACCGCUGAACCACGUGGCCAUGGGUGCAAUGAUCUGUCAUCAAGUGGAAAGUGUUAAGUGGGAAUUGCAGGAGCAGAUGGCUCAGACCCAGCGAUGCUCUCUGCUGUCCCUUCCAGUCCAUACCUGCAGCAGGAGGAACAUUUGAUCAAGGAGGAAAGACGUUGGGCCUUGUUUCCAGAAGAUUCUGCAUACAUCCUGGCUUUGACUGGAAGUGGACGUCUGUGGGGUCUCCCUGAAAGACAGUGAAGACCAGAUAUGCAAGCAAAACUUUGGGGUUUCUGCCUUGUUUAGACUGAUGAGAGACUGGACUAUGGGUCGACAGAGGAUUUGUAGACCGGUGCUUCAGCUCAGAGACUACCCAAUCUCGCCAUUGUUUGAUUUUGCGCUGAGCCCUGCGUCGAGCCUUGACGUGGCACCACCCAAGACCGCGGAAACGAGCUGCGUACUCAGGUCUGUUGUGGAAGGGACGUGUCAUGGAGAUGGCUUUGCCUUGCUUGGUCACCAUGCCUCUGCUGGCCUGUUGUCCAUGGACUUUGAGAACAUCUUCAGUGUCACCGUGUCACACUGCUUGUCGUCAGCUAAUUCUUUCUGUCUUUGUCUUUCUCAGAACAGUAAGAAGGAGAUCAUCUACGGGCUAGGAAAAGAGGUCCUACUGUACAAGAAGUCAACCCUGCCAGCACCUUGA